GUGCUGGCUUCCGCAGCACAUAUACUAAAAUUAGAAUGAAUCAGAGAAGAUUAGCAUAGCCCCUGCGCAAGGAUGACACACCAAUUGUUGAAGUGUUCCACAUUUUU
ensembl:snRNA U6 U6 spliceosomal RNA